CUGCGUUCAAGAUGAUGAAAGGAACAUGUCUGAACAUGCAGGAUCUUCGUGAGACUCCAUCGUCAACAUACAUGAGUCUGAAGACUAUCCACCUUCAAGAUCACCAUCAUUUUCUAUAGUUUCAGAGUUAUCUGCCAAUGAUAGUGUUUCAGUCAUAUCAUGUAUGUCACUUAGCCACAGUACAUCACCUGUAGC